UCAUUUCACCCCGAAUGGCAAAAAAAAAUUAAUUCCAUCUAAACGUGGAAAAUAAUUCAGGAUUUAAAGAGUUCUAAUGGGUACCUGACUUUAGUUAGGGAAUUGUAAAGGUGGUUGAUCAUUGUGUUGGCCACAUGACACCCUCAUUAACCAUGGGCCACAGAAACAACAUCUACCACAUAGACCGCAAAGUCUGCAAGGGGAACUUAACAUACAUUUAAUGCUUUACUUUUUGGUAUAAACUUAAAUUUUUUAGCUUCAACUAAAUAAUGACUUAAGGGGAGACUAACGCUCUGGAAACAAUAAAUUGGGAAAAAAAGAUUUGAAUGCUGGGACAAGAAGCCCCUGGAUGAGGCUGCCAAGUGAUUGGUUCAAAUUUCACACAGUUCAGGCCAAACUCUUAGGCCCUUACUCAAAUAGAGUAAUGUUAUUAAUAUAUUUACAUUUUGACAUCAAAGUUUGUACUUCACCGAUCAUAUUGUGCGUAAAGAUGGGUUAGGUUAGAUGAGUUCAGCUUUGCCUUGUUAGCCAACAACUGUCUGUAUCCUGGACUGUCCACACUUGUAUUAUUGCUGGUACACUUUCAGCAGUGAGCCAUGGCAGCAGACGUAUAGAAGGCAUGCUGGGAAUGAAAUUCAUCACAUACAGCUGCAAAAAAGUAUUUUCAUUGGUAAUUAUGUGGGCUGCACAAGCCUCAGCUGAUGCUCACCAAAGGUCAGUGUAUGCAAGUAUAGUUUUGUACAUUGAUACAAUAGAUAAGCAGUUUUUAUGAUUGCUUUAUUAUAUUAAGCAGAUCCCUUUAAAAAAAAGUUACUUCAAAAUGUAUUGGCCCAUCAGUCAUGUGAAUAAUAAUGUUUUCAUAGCCAAAUGACAUAAUUAUAAAAAAAAGUUCCCCUUUCAGACCAUGGGGCUGAUGAUGUAAAGUUCAUCUGUUUCUCUGGCCCAUGGUUAAAUAGGGUGUAAUGAGGCCAGCACAACAACCAACCACUAAACCCAAAGAUCCCAAAAUUAGAAAUUCGACUCUUUGACAGGAUUUGAACCCGGGACCCCUGGUUUAGAUAGCUAAGUGCUUUACCACUCAGCUACUGCGCCUCCAAUUAACAAAAGAGCGUAGUAGCAGAAUCUUGUCUUGUUUUUCUAAGUACUAUUCAUGUGGCGUUGUUCUGAAUACGUUGCAUCUUUUGUCAUCAAGUAUACCUUCUAGCACGGCGUUGCAGUAGUCAAGGCGAGAGAGUAUGAAUGCCACAGCUAGCAUUUUUGUUGACUCAACACAUUUGGAUCUACUAGUGGACCUCUUUUAAUAGUUCAUUUCACAUAACACUUUUUCAUUAAUGUGGCUGUAGAGAGAUGUUCCUUUCCACAUGUGUCCCAGGUUAAGGUGACAUUUGGCAUGCUUUUUUUUCCAGAACUGAGGCAAAUCUUUUUCGCUGUCCAUACCUUUCUUGGUUACCAUUUCUUUACAUAGUGUGUACAUCUGGAACCUGUCGUGAAUUGUCCAUAAAAAUAACACUUGGUAUAUGAUUGUCCUGCAGGACCAAGCCAGCUCAGACGUCGUUGUCUGAGGAUUGUAAAGAUAUUUGGAAGACCAAUUUUAUCAAGUAACUUUAUAAAUGUUAUAAUAUCAUUAGCUCUUGGAAAUCCUAUGCCGAACUGGGAGUCGAACACUUAGUGAGGUUGUGACUGAACGUCGCAUGAGGUUUGCGGGACAUGUUCUACGUCAAAAUGAAGUACGCACACCAAGAGUUGCGAUAACAUGGAAGCCAAAACAAGGAAAGCGCAAACAGGGACGUCCUCGUAUUACCUGGCGACACACCUUCAUGGAGGACCUCAGAACAGUGGACACCAGGUGGGAGGAGGCUUCAGACAUUACCAGUGACAGAUUAUUAUGGAGACAGCUUGCCGCCCAAUGCGCCGAACGGCGCCGGAGGACCUAUGUCUAAAAUGUUGAGUCAGAUAUUGAAGCCAGAGCUUUGUAUCUAAGUCAAAGACCACUAGUAUUUGACAGUGUUUACAGAGGACAAGAUGUUCCAGCUCAGUCCAAAAUUCAUAAAUUCUACCAUGAUGUUUGCCACCUGGAAGAAGACAUGCUUUCAUUCUUGCUUUGGAUGGACAGUUCAACAGUUAGAGCUCAAGUCAAGACUCAAGAUCCUGAUGUCAUGUUAAAACAUUUCAGAUUAAUAAACAAUUGUUGGACUAUCAGGGCUAGUUAGAUCUUCUCACAGAGCGAAGUUGAGAUAUUCACCCAGUUCAUCACCACCAAGAACUGCCAGAAUGGCAUUUGAAGGCUAGAGCUCUUGUCCAAUAUCAGCACAAACAUGUGUCAUUAGCAAAAGGGGACUUUGUCAAGAUUUUGGAAAAUUUUGAUGCUGAAAGAUGGAAGAUGGAAUAGAAAGUGAAGUCCCUGCUAUUGUGUUGGUCAUUCCUUCCUGCUUCCAACAGAUUGAUAAAUUAGGAGAACUAAUCAAGGUCAAUAGUUCUAUUGCUGCUGAUAAAUGGUCACAUUUAAUCCAGUUUUUAAGUGCUGCUAUUUCCCAGACACAGUCCAAAGAUUUAUGUUUUUCCUGCUGAAGAUGAUGAAUGAGGCAGCAGACAUCUUGAAAGGAUUUGAUUUCGAGUUCCUUCAACAGUCUUUUCAUUUUAUUUAGGAAGAAGCUCAUCAGUCACUUCAAACCAGGUGAUGAUGGAGUCAUAAACAGUAGGAUACAGAGGUGGAACAAAACUGGAGCUUUAGUUUGUUUGUUUGUAGAACUUGGCAUCUACUCCAGACAUUAUUCUGAAGAACACUCAAGUAAAAGAAAAGAAGAAAUGUUAAAGGUUAAGGACUUGGGCACCAAUCAUACUUACACUUCAAAAGCUUUAAUUUGAAAGGUCUUAUAUUUUUGUGGAAAUAAAUUUUACUAGUGGAGUUUUUGUAGCUGCCAGAGUGGAUCAAGGUGGAUGUGAUAUCUAUUUAUAAACAUGUAUACCAGUAUAUUGUAAUCAGUGAUUUUCAUUUUUUGGUAACAGUUUGUUUCCAUUUAGAUUGCAGUCUUUCUUAUGUGAAAACAAGAUGUCUGCAUAAUCUUAGAGGACAUUUUUAAACUCAUUUAAAUUUAUUAGAUGAACUAUUUAUAAAACAUACAAUGUAAAUUGUUUUGUAAAAUGAUUAUACAUUUGAGUUCAUAAAAAUGUGUAAUUUUUUAAUGGCAUCAUGUUUCUGCUUAUCUGUAUCUGAUACUGAUGAUGUGUUUUCUAAAUCUAUUACUGCUUCACCAUUGAGGAAAAACUGCACAUGUUUAAACCCAUAUCUGAAGUAACUUUCCAGAAAAAAAAAAGAUGUAUGUUGGACAGUGUCCAAAAUUUCAAAUCAUUUCCUUCAAAAUGUUAUCAAUUUCCUCCAUAACUUCAUAACAUUAUUGAAUUUUUUCCUUCAGAACACAAUUGUAAAUUAUCUUUUUUUUUUUUUUUUUUGUUAAACCACAAUGAGAGUCUAAUAACUAAUAGUCUAGCAAACAAUUACUUAUAAUUUGCCUUAUUAUUAUACAAUAUUAAGAUUUACUUCUGCAGGGAUGAAAAACUUUUUUAAAAAUACAAUAGACAUGUAUAAUAAUAAAGUACAUUCACACCUGACUCACUCAUAAUUUACAUGUGAAAAGUUUAUAUCAGAUUGUUUCUAUUUAAUGAUUUGAUUGCCAUCAGUGUCUUGUAUCUCUUUUGUGAUGGUAAAGUCACAAAAUGUAGGAAACCCCACUGUGUUUGGUCCAGUAUGUGGGUUAUUAUAUGUAAGUCUAUUGUAUUUUCUAUAUUAUUUUACAAAUGUAAAAAAAAUAAAAAGAAAUUGUUACACUGUU